rnacentral:rRNA from 1 species
GUGGGGAAUAUUGGACAAUGGGCGCAAGCCUGAUCCAGCCAUGCCGCGUGAGUGAUGAAGGCCCUAGGGUUGUAAAGCUCUUUCACCGGUGAAGAUAAUGACGGUAACCGGAGAAGAAGCCCCGGCUAACUUCGUGCCAGCAGCCGCGGUAAUACGAAGGGGGCUAGCGUUGUUCGGAAUUACUGGGCGUAAAGCGCACGUAGGCGGACAUUUAAGUCAGGGGUGAAAUCCCGGGGCUCAACCCCGGAACUGCCUUUGAUACUGGGUGUCUGGAGUAUGGAAGAGGUAAGUGGAAUUCCGAGUGUAGAGGUGAAAUUCGUAGAUAUUCGGAGGAACACCAGUGGCGAAGGCGGCUUACUGGUCCAUUACUGACGCUGAGGUGCGAAAGCGUGGGGAGCAAACAGGAUUAGAAACCCGGGUAGUCC